GUGUGUGUGUGUGUGCGCGCGCGUGUGAAGAUGGUGACGGAGAUGGACCGGGAGAGGGGCUGAUCUGUUAACCCAGGAACUACCUAGAAGGUUGGUAUCAUUGUGGAAGAAAAUCCUUCAUUUCCUGUGUGCUCAACUCUUUCCAGGUUUUCUGAUCAUGGGGUCUUUGAAGUUUCAAAAGUCCUGUGUGUUCCAAAGUUAUUCAACAUCCGCAUCUUCAAUGGUGGAUUCAUUAUGCGUGAGCAUCUUGAUCAUUCUCUAAGACAUGUUUUCUUUUUAAGUUGUUCUGUUUUUGAAAGAUGAGUUUGCCAAAAAU